ensembl:lncRNA
ACCUGACAGAGUCCCUUGGACUGCAAGGAGAUCGAUCCAACCAGUCAAUCCUAAAGGAAAUCAAUCCUGAAUAUUCUUUGUAAGGACUGAUGCUGAGCUUGAAUCUCCAAUACUUUAGCCACCUGAUGUGAAGAACUGACUCAUUUCCAAAGACCCUGAUGCUGGGAAAUAUUGAAGGCGGGAGGAAAAGGGGAAGACAGAGGAUGAGAUGGUUGGAUGGCAUCACCGACUCAAUGGACAUGAGUGAAAUGGAACUAUCUCUCUAGAGAAGUUACAUGGUAAAUAAAACCAGGUCAAAGAGAAGUUUGAAAAAGGAAAAGGAAGACACUGCCUCAGUUCACAAACAAGGAAACUGAGCCCAGGGAACAACUGACUUCAAGCUUGAAUACUGGGCCCACCAGCUCCUGUGUCCAUGGAAUUUCCCAGGCAAGACCAUUUCCAACCUCUGGACCAACUUCCAAAUGGCUAAGAAGGAUGCCAGGACCAGAUUUUAGGCAUCCUCGCUCAGCUUCACUCAGGAGAUUCCCAGGCUGGGCUCAUGGCAUAUGAAAGUCCUCAUGAUUCAGGAGAUGGAUGUAUCUGGAGAGACCUUCAAAGGAGGAUGACGCUUUCAUCUAUCAAAUCUGCAGAAUGCCUAGAAAACACAACACAUUUCAGUCAGCAGUUUAGCAUGGACCUGGGAGUGUCUGCACACUUGAGGUUGUGACCUUCCUGCCCACUCAGCCUAGAGGACUUGAACCACUCCAUCACACCCAGUACCACCAAGCACACAACCAUGUUUCUGGCCUAUCUUUACAUCUUGGGGUUUCUGUCUUCUAU